ACUAAUGAUGAUGUUUGCUGUUAACAAGCAGAAAGGUAAAAGGUAAAGGUAACAGAAAGGUAAACAGAAAGACGUUAAAGCAACAAGAUGACUUGGUUCAGACAAUUACUUAACAGUGCAUUUUCUCCUUUAUGUUAGACAAAGCACACCAUGUGAAUUUCAUUUAAUACAUUUUGGAACAAAUCUGAGUCCACUUAUUAUUUCUACUUACAAACUAACGUUUCUUUUCUGGUCCGUUUGCAGUGUGUGGGCGAGAUCUGGACUGAGAACUAAGACGUAUACUAAGACAGAACGAAGUGUUGUGGCCCACAGAAACCUACCCAUAUUCAAAAGCUGAUUACAAAAGAACUACUCAAGAGUGAAAUGCACACAUUGAGGAAUGGACCCAGACCAUCGGUGCCGGACGUCUGACCCACCAACCUCCAUCCCGACAGCCAGCGCGUUCUCCGGCUCCCAUUGCGGUAUCGCUUCUCGGCAUUUUGGAUAAGAUCAAGUGGACACUGGGGACUACACGUUUAAAUGGAUUUUUGACCUUUGGAAGUGGAAGCGAGGCUUGCUCCGUCCACUCCAUGCAUUGACUCGGGCACUUUCCGGGGACAAAUAAGGUGAGUUUAAAACCAGAGUUUGCUUCUUUUUUGCGUGGUUGCCAGAUCGGGUUCUAACCCGUGUUUUAAAAUACGUUGCGCGUUCCUUGUUUCUCCAUCGCUCAGUACUUUUCUGUGUUUCUAUUCCACGUAAAGCUAACACCGAAACGAUUGUGGAAAGCGCUAUAUAGAUUGUUAUCAAAGAAAAAACGACAACAACGAGGAAUAAACCCAUGUAAAAAUUGGUCAAAUUAUUUAGGCGGAGCACCUCGUUCAAAGAAAAACAUUACAGACUUGUCGCGUUGAACAAAGACAAUGGCGCGUGCACACAAUGAAUGUGUAUUGUGGAAAAGUUUGGCCCAUAUGCAUGUUCGCAUGUGUCUUUGGUGGAUACUAAAAAGAUAAACAUCUGCCCGAUGAUCUAGUUUGUAGACAAUAUAUUUAUAUAUGCAGUUGAAGUGAAUUUAAACAAGCAAAAAAAUCAGCCAGUGGGGUAGGACAGUUUUUCUUGAAAUAAGUUCACGUUUUUCUUACCCUGUAGGCAUAUUUAUUUGCUUGUUUUAAGCGUAAACAGGAAAAUGAAUUGUGUAGAUGGAGCACAUGUUUUUUUUUUUUCGUUCUAAGACAAAAAGCAGCGUGGCACGAAGGAAUGUUUGACUGAAAUGGAAUUUCGCCCUCUAUUUUCCUUACAAACAUAAACCAGAGAGAAGGGUCAGAUGGCAUCGAGUUGCACCUUGUAUUCGGUGAUUGAUUGAGGAAAAAAAUCGAAUAUAUCUAUAUAAACACACAAUUGUUUUGUUGAACAGAGACAAUGGCGGCAUGCUCCAGCGUCGCCUACAUGCCCAUUUCACAAAAUGGCGGCUUUGACCGGAAGUAGGGAAAACAUCCUUCCAGCUCCACCACUACGAUGGCCACUCAAUAUAAUAUGGACUGACAACUGCAUGUUUUCUUCCAAAAACGAAUUUACUUGUCAAAAAUAACAAUAGCAGAUAUUGUCCAUUUAGGUGUUACUUGGAAAUGACUGAAUAAUGUUUCAAAUAAUUUUUUAGCAUUUCGUAUUAUGAAAAUAUAUCACAUGUAAGACAGCUGUAAAUUUCAAAUAAAAUAACGAGACAUACACAA